GGUUAUAGCUCAGCGGUAGAGCGCUUGCCUUGCACAUGUGAGGUACUGGGUUCCAUCCUCAGCACCA
rnacentral:tRNA from 1 species